UACGGGGGGGGCAAGCGUUGUUCGGAAUUACUGGGCGUAAAGGGCUCGUAGGUGGCCAACUAAGUCAGACGUGAAAUCCCUCGGCUUAACCGGGGAACUGCGUCCGAUACUGGUUGGCUUGAGUUUGGGAGAGGGAUGCGGAAUUCCAGGUGUAGCGGUGAAAUGCGUAGAUAUCUGGAGGAACACCGGUGGCGAAGGCGGCAUCCUGGACCAAUACUGACGCUGAGGAGCAAAAGCCAGGGGAGCAAACGGG
rnacentral:rRNA from 1 species